rnacentral:lncRNA from 1 species
AGAUAACGUCACCUCAGACUUAAAGUGAGGGAACCUAGACUUCACCUCAUAAAGGGAGGAGAAACGAGGUGUCUACAUCCAUCUUUAAUUGACCCCACCUGCACUUCUUGAUUCUUUACAAGCUCCGUUAACAAAUCAUUUCACAGCCAUCACCCCAGCUUCUAUGAUAGGUGCUAGAAUUUUCAGCAGGGUGGGUGGUCAGGAGAGAAGAGAGAUGAUUGAUUAGACAGCCGUUAUCCUGAUGGCCCACGUGGGAACUUGCUUUUGCUAACUCCGAGCAAUGCUGAGAGGAAAAUCAGCACGGAAAUGUCUUGCCUAAAAAAUAGACUCGAAACUUUUUUGAGGUUCCUCUCAUUUGAUGGAGUGGCCCAGCUCCUCAAAGAGGCUUAUAAAC